rnacentral:rRNA from 1 species
CGGUUGGCGAGGCCUACCAUGCAGUCGAGCGGGGAACGGUAGAUUGUGUACCUGGCCUAACGACGGACGGGUGAGUGAUGCUUAGGAGUCUGCCUAUUAGAGGGGGACAACGUUCCGAAGGGAACGCUAAUACCGCAUACGUCCUACGGUAGAAAGCAGGGGAUCUUCGGUCCUUGCGCUAAUAGAUGAGCCUAAGUCGAAUUAACUAGUUGGUGGGGGAAAGGCCUACCAAGGCGACGAUCUGUACCGGGUCUGAGAGGAUGAUCCGCCACACUGGGACUGAGACACGGCCCAGACUCCUACGGAAGGCAGCAGUGGGGAAUAUUGAACAAUGGGUGGAAGCCUGAUCCAGCCAUGCCGCGUGUGUGAAGAAGGACUUUUGUUUGUAAAGCACUUUAAUUGAGGAGGAGGCUACUUAAAUUAAUACUUAUGGAUAGUGAACGUUACUCCCAGAAUAAGAACCGGCUAACUCUGUGCCAGCAGCCGCGGUAAUACAGAGGGUGCAAGCGUUAAUCGGAUUUACUGGGCGUAAAGCGCGCGUAGGCGGCUUUUUAAGUCGAAUGUGAAAUCCCCGAGCUUAACUUGGGAAUUGCAUUCGAUACUGCUGGGCUAGAGUAUGGGAGAGGAUGGUAGAAUUCCAGGUGUAGCGGUGAAAUGCGUAGAGAUCUGGAGGAAUACCGAUGGCGAAGGCAGCCAUCUGGCCUAAUACUGACACUGAGGUGCGAAAGCAUGGUGGAGCAAACAGGAUUAUAUACCACUGUGAGUCCAUGCCCGUAAACGAUGUCUACUAGUCCGUUGGGUGCCCUUUGAGGACUUUAGUGGUCGCAGCUAACGCGAUAUGUAGACCAGCCCUGGUGGAGUACCGCUCGCAAGACGUAAAAACCUCCAUCAUGGU